rnacentral:rRNA from 1 species
CCCUUAGAUGAUUUGGGCUGCACGCGCGCUACACUGACCCUAACAAUGAGCAACUGUCUGGCCUGAGAUGGCUGGGUAGCCUUUUCAACCCAUGUCAUGAUUGGGCUAGAUUUUUGCAAGUCUUGAUCUCUAACGAGGAAUCCCUAGUAUGCGUGAAUCAUCAAUCCAUGCAGAUUAUGUCCCUGCCCUUUGUACACACCGCCCGUCGCUCCUACUGAUUGGGUGAUCCGGUGAGCUGUUCGGCCAUAGCAAUGUUUCUUGAGCAGGGCAAUGAAUGUUUCGCAAACCUUGCCACUUAGAGGAAGGAGAAGUCGUAACA